CCUACGGGUGGCAGCAGUGGGGAAUAUUGCGCAAUGGGCGAAAGUCUGACGCAGCGACGCCGCGUGAGUGAUGAAGGUUUUCGGAUCGUAAACCUCUGUCAGGAGGGAGGAAAGCGCAUAGCGCCAAUCAGCCAUGCGUUGACGGUACCUCCAAAGGAAGCGCCGGCUAACUCCGUGCCAGCAGCCGCGGUAAUACGGAGGGCGCGAGCGUUAAUCGGAAUUACUGGGCGUAAAGCGCGCGUAGGCUGUGGUGUAAGUUGGGGGUGAAAUCCCACGGCUCAACCGUGGAACAGCACUUGAUACUGGGCGACUUGAAUCCGGGAGAGGGUGGCGGAAUUCCAGGUGUAGGAGUGAAAUGCGUAGAGAUGUGGAGGAAUAUCAGAGGCGAAGGCGGCCACUUGGACCGGUAUUGACGCUGAGGUGCGAAAGCGUGGGGAGCAAACAGGAUUAGAUACCCCUGUAGUC
rnacentral:rRNA from 1 species